UUACAACAACUUGAAUGAAGUAAAAUCAUAAUUGAAAAGUAAAGUUUGUUAGAUCUGAAAUGGUAUCAGAGCAAUUUUUCUUCUUCAAGCUUUGCUUCGUCAAACUUCAUUCUUCUUCCGUAAGCUCAAAUCAUCUUUCAUUCUUUGUUCAUACCUCUUGAAUCUAUCAUCAUCUUCUUCUCCGAUUCAUUCUCGACAUUUUCAUCAGAGAUUUUCUACUUUUUUCUUCGUUUUCUUGCUUUUCCGAUCGCGUUACAUUCCGAUCGAGUUCUUUCUUCUUCUCCGGCUUGAUUCGAGCUUCAAUUUCAUCGAUCAAGCUUGGUUUUCAUCAAAUCAUCUGUGUCGAGCACUGAUCUCUUCGAAUCGAGCUCCAGUUUCUUUGAAUCGAGCAUUGAUUUCUUCACUUAUUGUCUUGAUUUCUCAGAUUCGAGUUCUUCUCCUUCGAUUUUGAGAUCAGAUUUCCUCGAUCGUUGUAAUUGCUUCUUUGAAGCUUGAAUUUCUUCUGAUUCAUUGUUGAUUCAGAAUUCGUAGUGAUUUUCCACUUCGCGAUCCAUUUCUGUAGUUGCUUCGAGCUUCUUCUUCUGGUUUCCUGUGCGAUUUUUGCUGUUCUUCUUUGAAUUUGAGCUGAAAUCAAUUAUCAACGGUGAAACGGAAGGAUAAUUCAGAGUAUCGAACAAUCUAAACAGGAUUUACCAGGAGAUCAUUUCAUCGGAGUCUUGUGAGAAGCCUGUUGGUUUUAAUUCACCUCACAUUGCUUCAAGUAUACCAGAUCGUGCUUGAUUUUGCCGAUUUUGGUUAUUUUGUGCGGUUCUUUUGCCGGAUUUUGCUUGGAUUGAGGUUUUCCAAGUUUCAGCUCACGGUUACUUCGUCGAUCUGUUCAGAGAUCUUCCAUUUGUGAAGAAGAUAUUUCUCUGCUUUGUUUCAUCUCUUCCGUUGAGUUUGUUUUUUCUGCAAUUUCAUUUGAUUCGAGUGUUGCGAUUAUCACGAUGUGUUGAUAUCGUUUUGCACUUGUUUUGUGAUUGCUAUUGGGAUGGAACCAUUUUCUGGUUUUGUUGAGUUUAUGGCUCCACCAGUAGAGAUUAUUGUCGAUGACAAUCUAUUUGGAGAAAAUCCAUGGUUGAAUUUGACGUUGGAUCUUGUACUCAUCUACGGAUCUCUUCCACGGCCAUCAGAUUUACAACCUCUUGUGCGAUGAUUAUGAUCUUCAAUUGUUCUGGUUUCACUAUUUUUGUGAACUUGGUGCCAUAAUGUUACCUGUUGUUAAGCCUCCUUGUCGAAACAGAAGAUGGAUGUGCCUUUAUUGAGGUGUUGUGUGUUGAUCAACUGUUUGUCAUGCACAUCAAGCAUGGAUUUCAAGGACUUACAGAGUUGAUUAAGAAGAUGGAAGUAUCAUCUAAGCAGUGUUGACUUGCUGGCUUGUCUUUGUCAUUCCAAGUUUCAUUCUCAAGUUCAAGAAUGUAUGGGAAGACUAGAGAAGCUGCUCACUUACUGCAGUUGUGUGUUAAAUUCUUGUUUGUUUUCAACUGAUAUUUUCAUGGCCGGAUAUAUCCGCAAGCAUCCCUUCACCAAGUUCUGGUCCAAACCAGAGGAAGUUUUGGGUUUCUAUUUGGAUAUGAAAUAUUGUAGUUUACACAUCUCUGGUUUGUUUAACUUUCUCUUGAUGAGCAAAAGGUCAUUGCAGAAGCUGGUUUGUGGUUGAUGGUUAGUUGAAUUUGGUUUUGGAAAGAGGAUGCUUGGUUAAAAGAGAUAAGAUCCUUCACUUGUCUACGGCUUGUUACUCCUAUGGCUGGUUCGUGAUGUUUUUUUUGCUACAAAACCAUGGAGACUUCAAGUUUCUUUGAGCAGUAUUCUUUACUUGUAAUACUCACCAGUUUUAUCAAGCUCAUCUUGGAUUCAAGCCACUCACGUCAAAUAAGAUCUAUCAAGUUCACUUGAAUGUUUCUCUCAUCGAGAAGGUUAUGGAGGAUACACUAAUGGAGUUUUCAAGUCCAAGAUGAAAGUUCUUUGAUACUUUCAUCUUGAGGGGGAGUAUUAGAGAUCAUAUAUCGGUUAGGCUAGAUUGGUUUAAGUUGGUUUAGCUUUAGUUUCGGUUUAGUUGAUGUAUUUAAGAAUUCUUGUAUACUUCAUUGACACUUGAAUGAAGUAAAAUCAUAAUUGAAAAGUAAAGUUUGUUAGAUCUGAAAAGUUUUAAAACUUGAGAUA